GAAUUACUCCCUCCGUUUUGAAUUACUUGUCGCCCGUAUGGAUGUAUCUAGAUGUAUUUUAAUUCUAAAUACAUCCAUUUCAGCGACAAGUAAUUUGGGACGAAGAGAGUAUUUC
rfam:Triticum aestivum genome assembly, contig: Triticum_aestivum_CS42_TGACv1_scaffold_328716_4BS